rnacentral:rRNA from 1 species
CCUACGGGAGGCAGCAGUCGAGAAUCAUUCACAAUGGGGGAAACCCUGAUGGUGCGACGCCGCGUGGGGGAAUGAAGGUCUUCGGAUUGUAAACCCCUGUCAUGUGGGAGCAAAUUAAAAAGAUAGUACCACAAGAGGAAGAGACGGCUAACUCUGUGCCAGCAGCCGCGGUAAUACAGAGGUUUCAAGCGUUGUUCGGAAUCACUGGGCGUAAAGCGUGCGUAGGCUGUUUCGUAAGUCGUGUGUGAAAGGCGCGGGCUCAACCCGCGGAGGGCAGAUGAUACUGGGAGACUAGAGUAAGGGUGGGGGAAGCGGAAUGCGUGGUGUAGCAGUGAAAUGCGUAGAUAUCGAGAGGAACUCUGGGGGCGAAGGCGGGUUCCUGGACAUUAACUGACGCUGAGGCACGAAGGCCAGGGGAGCGAAAGGGAUUAGAUACCCUGGUAGUC